rnacentral:rRNA from 1 species
GACGAACGCUGGCGGCGGGCUUAACACAUGCAAGUCGAACGGAAAGGCCCUGCUUUUGUGGGGUGCUCGAGUGGCGAACGGGUGAGUAACACGUGAGUAACCUGCCCUUGACUUUGGGAUAACUUCAGGAAACUGGGGCUAAUACCGGAUAGGAGCCCCUGCUGCAUGGUGGGGGUGGGAAAGUUUCGGCGGUUGGGGAUGGAUUCGCGGCUUACCAGCUUGUUGGUGGGGUGGUGGCUUACCAAGGCUUUGACGGGUAGCCGGCCUGAGAGGGUGACCGGCCACAGUGGGCCUGGGGUAGGGCCCAGAGUGAAACGUGAGGCAGGAGUGGAGAAUAUUGCAAACUGGGCGGCAGCCUGAUAGAGGAACGCCGCGUGCGAGAUGACGGCCUUCGGGUUGGAAACGGAUUACGCUUGUGACGAAGCGUGAGGGACGGUAAUAGAUAAAGAGGCACCGCUUACCUACGU